AUUGAACGCUGGCGGCAUGCCUAACACAUGCAAGUCGAACGGCAGCACAAUAAAGAUUUCGGUCUUUAUGGGUGGCGAGUGGCGGACGGGUGAGUAACGCGUAGGAAUCUGUCCUGGAGAGUGGGAUAACCCGAGGAAACUCGGGCUAAUACUGCAUGACAUUGAGAGAUCAAAAGCAGGGGACCGAAAGGCCUUGCGCGCUGGGGUGAGCCUACGUCGGAUUAGCUAGUUGGUGGGGUAAAGGCCUACCAAGGCGGCGAUCCGUAGCUGGUCUGAGAGGAAGACCAGCCACACUGGGACUGAGACACGGCCCAGACUCCUACGGGAGGCAGCAGUGGGGAAUCUUGGACAAUGGGGGAAACCCUGAUCCAGCGAUACCGCGUGUGUGAAGAAGGCCUUCGGGUUGUAAAGCACUUUAGGUGGGGAAGAAAGGUAGCGAGUGAAUAACUUUCUGCUGUGACGGUACCCACAGAAUAAGCACCGGCUAACUCUGUGCCAGCCGCCGCGGUAA
rnacentral:rRNA from 1 species